rnacentral:misc_RNA from 1 species
GAUGAAGAACGCAGUGAAACGCGAUAAGUAAUGUGAAUUGCAGAAUUUAGUGAAUCAUCGAAUCUUUGAACGCACAUUGCGCCCGCCAGUAUUCUGGCGGGCAUGCCUGUUCGAGCGUCAUUACAACCCUCAGGCCCCCGGGCCUGGCGUUGGGGAUCGGCGGAGCCCCCCGUGGGCACACGCCGUCCCCCAAAUGCAGUGGCGGUCCCGCCGCAGCUUCCAUCGCGUAGUAGCUAACACCUCGCGACUGGAAAGCGGCGCGGCCACGCCGUAAAACACCCAACUCUUCUGAAGUUGACCUCGAAUCAGGUAGGAAUACCCGCUGAACUUAAGCAUAUCAAUAAGCGGAGGA